rnacentral:rRNA from 1 species
GAUGAACGCUGGCGGCGUGCCUAAUACAUGCAAGUAGAACGCUGAAGCUUGGUGCUUGCACCGAGCGGAUGAGUUGCGAACGGGUGAGUAACGCGUAGGUAACCUGCCUGGUAGCGGGGGAUAACUAUUGGAAACGAUAGCUAAUACCGCAUAACAGUAGAUAUUGCAUGAUAUCUGCUUGAAAGGUGCAAAUGCAUCACUACCAGAUGGACCUGCGUUGUAUUAGCUAGUUGGUGAGGUAACGGCUCACCAAGGCGACGAUACAUAGCCGACCUGAGAGGGGGAUCGGCCACACUGGGACUGAGACACGGCCCAGACUCCUACGGGAGGCAGCAGUAGGGAAUCUUCGGCAAUGGGGGGAACCCUGACCGAGCAACGCCGCGUGAGUGAAGAAGGUUUUCGGAUCGUAAAGCUCUGUUGUAAGAGAAGAACGAGUGUGAGAGUGGAAAGUUCACACUGUGACGGUAUCUUACCAGAAAGGGACGGCUAACUACGUG